UACAGAGGGUGCGAGCGUUUAAUCGGAAUUACUGGGCGUAAAGCGCGCGUAGGCGGCUUUGCAAGUCGGGUGUGAAAUCCCCCAGGCUUAACCUGGGAACUGCAUUCGAGACUGCAUUGCUAGAGUAUGGGAGAGGGAAGUGGAAUUUCCGGUGUAGCGGUGAAAUGCGCAGAUAUCGGGAGGAACACCAAUGGCGAAGGCAGCUCGCUGGGACGUUACUGACGCUGAGACGCGAAAGCGUGGGGAGCAAACAGG
rnacentral:rRNA from 1 species